GAGCAGAGGAGAAGAACGCCGCAGCUCAUCAGCCGAACUUUCAUCAGGGGAGGCGAAGCAUGCUGAGAGCAACGUUAGGGACCAUGCACGGCUGAAAGCUUGACCAAGAAGCCCCAAGCAAAUAUCGCUCAAGAAUUCGUGCAGACCGAUCUAGGAGUCUAAGAUCAACAAAGGAGUACAAAGGGUCGAAAAAUAGGAGUAAAUUGAAUGGGCG
rnacentral:misc_RNA from 1 species